rnacentral:rRNA from 1 species
UGGGCUACACACGUCAUACAAUGGGCCGGUAACAGGAAGGGUAGCCAACCGCGAGGGGAGCCAAUCCCACAAAAGCCGGUCGUAGUCCGGAUCGCAGUCUGCAACUCGACUGCGUGAAGUCGGAAUCGCUAGUAAUCGCGGAUCAGCAUGUCGCGGUGAAUACGUUCCCGGGUCUU